rnacentral:rRNA from 1 species
AUUGAACGCUGGCGGCAGGCCUAACACAUGCAAGUCGAGCGGAUGAAGGGAGCUUGCUCCUGGAUUCAGCGGCGGACGGGUGAGUAAUGCCUAGGAAUCUGCCUGGUAGUGGGGGAUAACGUCCGGAAACGGGCGCUAAUACCGCAUACGUCCUGAGGGAGAAAGUGGGGGAUCUUCGGACCUCACGCUAUCAGAUGAGCCUAGGUCGGAUUAGCUAGUUGGUGGGGUAAAGGCCUACCAAGCCGACGAUCCGUAACUGGUCUGAGAGGAUGAUCAGUCACACUGGAACUGAGACACGGUCCAGGCUCCUACGGGAGGCAGCAGUGGGGAAUAUUGGACAGUGGGCGGAAGCCUGAUCCAGCCAUGCCGCGUGUGUGAAGAAGGUCUUCGGAUUGUAAAGCACUUUAAGUUGGGAGGAAGGGCAGUAAGUUAAUACCUUGCUGUUUUGACGUUACCAACAGAAUAAGCACCGGCUAACUUCGUG